GUAGGGAAUAUUGCACAAUGGGCGAAAGCCUGAUGCAGCAACGCCGCGUGCACGAUGAAGGUCUUCGGAUCGUAAAGUGCUUUUUGGGGAGACGAGGAAGGACGGUAUCCUCAGAAUAAGGAUCGGCUAACUACGUGCCAGCAGCCGCGGUAACACGUAGGAUCCGAGCGUUAUCCGAAUUUACUGGGCGUAAAGCGCGUGCAGGUGGUCUGAUAAGUUGGAUGUGAAAGCUCCUGGCUCAACUGGGAGAGGCCGUUCAAAACUAUCAGACUUGAGGACGGUAGAGGAAAGUGGAAUUCCCGGUGUAGUAGUGAAAUGCGUAGAUAUCGGGAGGAACACCAGUGGCGAAGGCGGCUUUCUGGACCGUUUCUGACACUAAGACGCGAAAGCUAGGGUAGCGAAUGGGAUUAGAAACCCCUGUAGUCC
rnacentral:rRNA from 1 species